rnacentral:rRNA from 1 species
UGCCAGCCGCCGCGGUAAUACGGCAGGUCCAAGCGUUAAUCGGAAUUACUGGACGUAAAGCGCGCGUAGGUGGUUUAUUAAGUUGGGUGUGAAAUCCCCGGGCUCAACCUGGGAACUGCAUCCAAAACUGAUCCACUAGAGUACGAUAGAGGGAGGUAGAAUUCACAGUGUAGCGGUGGAAUGCGUAGAUAUUGUGAAGAAUACCAAUGGCGAAGGCAGCCUCCUGGAUCUGUACUGACACUGAGGUGCGAAAGCGUGGGUAGCGAACAGGAUUAGAUA